GCGACAGCCAUGAAGACCCCAGCCAGGGCCACCUCAGAGCCGGCCAGGUAGAAGAUGAUCUCAUAGUUCUUCAACACAUCCACCAGGCGGCCUGGGGAGGAGGAGGAAGAGGAGGGAGAGAUGUAAAACCUCAUGUGGAUUCUGCCAUUUGAAACCUUAAAAAUGUCACUUGCUGUCCCUGGACCUCAAUUGCUUAAGUGAUAUGUGGCUUCUGGUCAUUCUCCUCACCCCAUGCACCUCCUCUGCCCAUCAGAUCCAUCCAGAUUCACACAAGAAAUGGAAGACGGUUCCUUGAGGCCUGGGCAGGCUGGUUUUGUGGCCUGCCCACACACUGGCUCAGGGACUUUGCCGUUCUCACUGGGUCAGGUGGGAUGACAGAGCUCAGUGAGGGCACUCGAUUAGCCCAGCCCUGAAGGAAGGACGAGCAGCUCACCCCAUCUCAGUGCAGCCUGCGGCCCCCGCAAGGUGUCCUCCCUGGUUACUGCACCAUCUCACAGCCCUCUAGCCUCUGGGACUCAAAGGCAGGCUCCCUUGCUGUUUCAAGAUAACUUGACAACCCAGGAAAACCCUCAUGUCCCCCACUCCCACCUUUCCAAUUUUGGUUCCUGCCUUGCUUGCAUAAGGACGCUGUUCCCCCCCAACAAGCCCUGCCCAUCCAUGCUGUGCCUUCACCUGGGGGAUAUUCCAGGAAGCCUUCCCUGACCACCCUCAUGACGAUGACUUCCUAAGGGUGACGGUGACAAGUGCCAGCAGGCCAUCUGCACAGUGAAAGACACCAGUGCUUCUCCCCAUCUGCCCGCUGAGCACCCCCACUCUGUUUCUGGCCCCAACACCAGUUUCCCAAAGAUACUGUCCCCAUUCCAGUCACCAUUCUAGAUGCACCAUUCUAAAGGCGUGGGCAUUUAGCAGCAGGUACACUGAGGCUCUCAUUCUGGGGCUGCAACUUGCGCUAAGGCUUUGUGCCUCAGUUUCCUCAUCUGCAAAAUGAGAAUAAGCACCUGCGCUCCAGAUGGCCUUGUGCCAACUGCUUGGGAUGGCAGAUCUGGCCAGCUACCAGUGUUGCUUUCUUCCCUGCACCUUCCUGGGCUUUUCUGUCCUCACCCAGAGCGGGCGGUCCGGCUUGGAGGAGGGACUAACUGGCCGUGAAGGGGAGUCCACCCACCCGACUGCCCCUUCCCCUCAUCCCUGGAAGUUCCAUCUGAGACAGGGGGAUGGAGCUUCCCUGGGUCUAAGGGGCACUAGGCUCGCCACCCCCUCUUCCUUCGGGGCGCACCGGCAGAGGGCGGUCCGAUGAGCACAGCCGCGGCCUCCACGAGCAACACCAGGCCCAGCGCACUGGGGAAGCGGGGCGCGCCCACAGCCGCC
rnacentral:lncRNA from 1 species